rnacentral:rRNA from 1 species
AUUGAACGCUGGCGGCAUGCCUUACACAUGCAAGUCGAACGGCAGCACGGGUGCUUGCACCUGGUGGCGAGUGGCGAACGGGUGAGUAAUACAUCGGAACAUGUCCUGUAGUGGGGGAUAGCCCGGCGAAAGCCGGAUUAAUACCGCAUACGAUCUACGGAUGAAAGCGGGGGACCUUCGGGCCUCGCGCUAUAGGGUUGGCCGAUGGCUGAUUAGCUAGUUGGUGGGGUAAAGGCCUACCAAGGCGACGAUCAGUAGCUGGUCUGAGAGGACGACCAGCCACCAUGGGAAUGGGGACCGGCCCAGGCCCCUAGGGGAGGCAGGAGGGGGGAAUUUGGGAAAAAGGGGGAAAGCCUGAACCAGCAAAGCCGCGUGGGUGAAGAAGGCCUUCGGGUUGUAAAGCACUUUUGGCCGGAAAGAAAUCCUUGGCCCUAAGACGGGCGGGGGAGGACGGGACCGGAAGAAAAAGCACCGGCUAACUAAGG